GAGGGGGGGGCGGGGCCGCGGCUGAGGGGCGGGCGGCAGGCCGGGAAUUUAAAGUUCCUGAAUUUAAAGUUCCUUCUUUAGCGCUCCGUGACCCUCGGCUCCAGAGCGAGGGCACAUUUGUGCUGUCGGAAUACGUGCUGCUGCACGGGACCAGGGGUCCCUGACCCUGCCUGGACCCAGGGGCUUUGCUCCUGAUAAUAUCAAGUUCAGCAACACCCUCUGGCUACUUACGUGAUCAUUACAACCACGCAAAACUUACUACCAAGCAGCUUAGAAGAGAGUAAGUUUCAGUAUUCGUCCUGCAACAGGAGAGGAAACUGAGAAGAAAAGCUCAGUGGCUCCUUCAAGCCUUUCACAGGAAAAAAAAUAUAUAUUUCUGGUGGAAAGCCAGUGAUUAAUUUGGCUGUGAGCCAGGCAAGUUAAGCAGAUGCCCAAAAAUUUUCUUCAUAUUAGCAGGAGGAUCAGUGUCUCCUGCAAACAUCCUGUCCCUCAUGGUUACAGGCACAUGGUACUGCCCAGGAAGCUGACUUCACUCAUUGGAUUUGUUAAUGUAUUAUGAAGAAAAUAUAUCUACUGUGUUCUAUGACACUUGGUGUAUAUCCUCCGAGAAUAUCCUGACCCGGAAUGAAACACAUUUCUGUAUCUUGGUGUAUGAUUUGAUAAUUAAAAUGCAGAAAUUACUGGACACUGUUCAGAGACAAUAGUUGAGACCAAGUGUAACAAUGAAAAUUGCAACAUCAACUUUUUGGUGUUUUCAUGUUUAUGCAAUAAUAAACUAGAAAUAGUUAAGGAAACAUUUUCUGAUUAGACUUCGCAGACAAACCAGCAACUGUUGAAAUACAUACAAAUUUUUUGAUACAGACCAAUCCUAAUGACUGUGAGCAUACCUAUCAGUUAGAAUAGACAUUAGUACAAUCAAUUUCAACUUCACAUUUCAGGACAAGAAAUCUGUGCUGUAUCUGUAGGAUCGAGAGGGACUGAGAAGGCAUCCACUGUCCAGCUAUCUCCAAAGGCAGCAACAGCAAAAAGGAAAACACUUCUGUGCUUGCAUCAGCAGGAGCAAGCAUAAAGAGGCAUUUUAUUUCUGUAAAAGAUACACUUUUACUUUAAGAAACUUCAAGUGUGUCUGUAGUUCACUUGGCUGGGGACAAGUCUCUGAGAUGCAGCAAGAUGUACACAUCAACUGGGCAGAAUGUGAACAGCCUGUUUGGAAAGCAGCAUCAUUCACACAGGUAGCAUGAAGAUGUGGGCACCAGUGCAAGGACUCUCCAUGUCUAAAUUCAACAUUUGUGUAAAAACUGGAGGUGCAGAGUGGGAGCACAAUGGGUACCAGCUCACAGGCACAGAAGCACUGCCAGUUGCUCGGGCUUCUCUGCUGGAGCAUGUAAUGAAAGGAGUGUGCUGGGUCGCUCAGCUAAGUCAUUUAGUUUACCCAUUGUUGCCUAAAAUAACGUCAAGUGCGUGUGACGCAUGCUCUGCUCUGCUGAGGCCCACAGAACAUAUGUUGAUGUACGGGCUGGGAGCCCUCCGUUCCUCUUCCCCACCCGGCCGGCAGACAUCGCCUUCCCCUGUGCGUGCUGGCACUCUGGCCCUCGUCUUCGAGGGUGUGGUGACGUGGAGGCGAUGACAGAGCCAAGGCUUCUGAAGCACACAUCUUCAGAGAGCUGCUGCUCACAGGAGAAAUUAAUAUACAUCAGGUAAAUCUGUGGCUGUAAAUGAAACCUUGGGACACUUCCUCAGACGUGACUAAUCCUGUGCGCACUGUGACUCAGCUGGUGAAGCAUAUAUCAGGAGAGCUCCCAGAGCACUCAGCUAUAAGCCUGUAAAUAAAAAUACCUUGUUUUCUUGUAGGAAACAGAAUCAUUGAACCUGAUUUCAUCGUCUGUUUCUUACUCCUUCAAAAAUAAGCCACCCAAAUGUUUACAGCCAUGCAAGAGAGGAAACAUCAUUGAUAGUAAACACACUGCCUUAAAUUCACAUGUGUUUGGCUCCUGAUUUCUGAGUUCAAAAUCUUAAAGCUCUGGAACCUGACUGACUCCAAAUUAUUUUGUGAAAACGUACUUUUGGUCCUGUUUGUGGUUUAGGAGCUGCAUGGUGAUAAAACCAGAUGUAAUUCAUCAAGUUUGUAGUAUCGGUAACCUGUGUAUGUUGGCUGAAGUUAGUUAGAAGAGACUGUGAAACUCACAGGUUUUUUUUGAGGGACUUGGAAAAAGAACUUAGAGUAAGUAUAUUAUUCAUAGUUUGGUUACCCCACAAAAAAAAAAAAAACAAAAAAACAAAAAACAAAAAAACAAACAAACAAACAAAAAAAAACCCUGCUAAAUUCUAGGUUGAAUCCAAACUUGACAUCUGAUUUAUCACAAAUUCCUGCAAAGCUGUUAGGCUUAUUAUACUUUCUCGUAUUUCAUUGUGGUUUUGUUGACUUUUUGGCUAAGUUAACCCUUAAAUCAUAAGUGCAAAUUUUCUUUCUCAUUUUAGCUCAGUUGUAGCAUUUACUGUUAUUUAAGCCUGCAUAUUGAACUUUGGAGUUGUUUUGUUGUUUAUAAACUGCACCUGCCCCAAGAUCUUUGUGCACAAAAUGUAGCAACUUCUGCUCCAGAUAAAUGUACUGGGAGUAUUGCUGUUGGUGCAGCAGCUCUGAUUGUAAUAAGAAUGGUUUUUUAACAACUCUUAAAACCCUAAAGUAUGGCAUUGUCACCUCUCAUGUCAAUUAAUACUGCCAAACAUGUUUUCUAUAUUACUUUGUAUUCUACUGGAGUCCAGCAUAAUUUUUGCUUACUCAUUCUUUCAUGACAAACUUUUCUUCUUUAAAUACAAUCAAUGUCUUCAGAAAUUGAGCAUUUUCAAUGUUUUAGAUAAAUGUUUUGUUUGCUAUCAUAUGGCUGGCUUUGAAGAGUCUGUUUAAGAGAACCUUUAAACCAAAUAUGUCCCAAAUAACCCAUUUUCUUGCUGUUUAAAAUCAG